UGGGGAAUAUUGCACAAUGGGCGCAAGCCUGAUGCAGCCAUGCCGCGUGUGUGAAGAAGGCCUUCGGGUUGUAAAGCACUUUCAGCGAGGAGGAAGGUGGUGAGCUUAAUACGCUCAUCAAUUGACGUUACUCGCAGAAGAAGCACCGGCUAACUCCGUGCCAGCAGCCGCGGUAAUACGGAGGGUGCAAGCGUUAAUCGGAAUUACUGGGCGUAAAGCGCACGCAGGCGGUUUGUUAAGUCAGAUGUGAAAUCCCCGGGCUCAACCUGGGAACUGCAUUUGAAACUGGCAAGCUAGAGUCUCGUAGAGGGGGGUAGAAUUCCAGGUGUAGCGGUGAAAUGCGUAGAGAUCUGGAGGAAUACCGGUGGCGAAGGCGGCCCCCUGGACGAAGACUGACGCUCAGGUGCGAAAGCGUGGGGCAGCAAACAGGAUUAGAUACCCUGGUAGUCCACGCUGUAAACGAUGUCGAUUUUGGAGGUUGUGCCCUUGAGGCGUGGCUUCCGGAGCUAACGCGUUAAAUCGACCGCCUGGGGAGUACGGCCGCAAGGUUAAAACUUAAAGGAAUUGACGGGGUCAUAGCUG
rnacentral:rRNA from 1 species